rnacentral:rRNA from 1 species
AACGAACGCUGGCGGCAUGCCUAACACAUGCAAGUCGAACGAUGCUUUCGGGCAUAGUGGCGCACGGGUGCGUAACGCGUGGGAAUCUGCCCUUGGGUUCGGAAUAACAGUGAGAAAUUGCUGCUAAUACCGGAUGAUGUCUUCGGACCAAAGAUUUAUCGCCCAGGGAUGAGCCCGCGUAGGAUUAGCUAGUUGGUGGGGUAAUGGCCUACCAAGGCGACGAUCCUUAGCUGGUCUGAGAGGAUGAUCAGCCACACUGGGACUGAGACACGGCCCAGACUCCUACGGGAGGCAGCAGUGGGGAAUAUUGGACAAUGGGCGCAAGCCUGAUCCAGCAAGGCCGCGUGAGUGAUGAAGGCCUUAGGGUUGUAAAGCUCUUUUACCCGGGAUGAUAAUGACAGGACCGGGAGAAUAAGCUCCGGCUAACUCCGU